rnacentral:rRNA from 1 species
GAUGAACGCUGGCGGCGUGCCUAAUACAUGCAAGUCGAACGAACGGACGCGAAGCUUGCUUCUUUGAUGUUAGCGGCGGACGGGUGAGUAACACGUGGAUAACCUACCUAUAAUACUGGGAUCACUUCGGGAAACCGGCGCUAAUACCGGAUAAUAUUUUGCACCGCAUGGUUCAAAAGUGAAAGACGGUCUUGCUGUCUCUAAUAGCUGGAUCCGCGCUGCAUUAGCUGGUUGGUAAGGUAACGGCUUACCAAGGCAACGAUGCAUAGCCGACCUGAGGGGCGGAUCGGCCGCACGGGAACUGAGACACGGUCAAGACGCCUGCGGGAGGCAGCAGAAGGGAAUCUGACGCAAUGGGCGAAAGCCUGACGGAGCGACGCGGCGUGAGUGAUGAAGGUCUUCGGAUCGGAAAACUCUGUUAUGAGGGAAGAACAGAUGUGUAAGUAACUGUGCACAGCGUGACGGUACCUAGUCAGAAAGCCACGGCUAACUACGUG